UACAGAGGUCCCAAGCGUUGUUCGGAUUCAUUGGGCGUAAAGGGUGCAUAGGUGGCGCUGUAAGUCAGGUGUGAAAUUUCGGAGCUUAACUCCGAAACUGCAUUUGAUACUGCGGUGCUUGAGGACUGGAGAGGAGACUGGAAUUUACGGUGUAGCAGUGAAAUGCGUAGAGAUCGUAAGGAAGACCAGUGGCGAAGGCGGGUCUCGUGGACAGUUCCUGACACUGAGGCACGAAGGCCAGGGGAGCAAACGGGG
rnacentral:rRNA from 1 species